rnacentral:misc_RNA from 1 species
UUUCCGUAGGUGAACCUGCGGAAGGAUCAUUAUCGAAAAGCAAUCCGGGGGGGAGGCCACCGAGCGAAGUUUGGUAGAUCGUGGAUUGUCGCUGGCCUUUGGAAACGAAGGCAUGUGCACGUUCCGAGUUCUCCUUAGUCCUCCUUUGCCUUUCCUUUGGAAGACCCUUUCUUCACACCCGUGCACACAUUGUAGGUCUCCGCGAGGGGAUCUAUGUCUUCACAAAACUCUACGUAUGUCCAGGAAUGUAUCUAAAGCGUCGAACGGCUCGGCUCCAUGCCCGGUCGCCGACGGUAAAGAACCAUAAUACAACUUUCAGCAACGGAUCUCUUGGCUCUC